CGGGGUGCACCAGGCGCGAAAACUUUACAAUGCUGGCAACAGCGAUAAGGGGACCUCGAGUGCCAGGAUAUAAUCUUGGCUGUCGUGAUGCCUAAAAAGCAUUACAUAGCAAGGGCCGGGCAAGACCGGUGCCAGCCGCCGCGGUAACACCGGCGGCUCGAGUGGUAACCGCUAUUAUUGGGUCUAAAGGGUCUGUAGCCGGCCGGAUAAGUCUCUUGGGAAAUCCAGCAGCUCAACUGUUGGGCUUCCAGGGGAUACUGUUCGGCUCGAGGCCGGGAGAGGUGAGAGGUACUUCAGGGGUAGGGGUGAAAUCUUGUAAUCCUUGAAGGACCACCAGUGGCGAAGGCGUCUCACCAGAACGGUCCUGACGGCAAGGGACGAAAGCUAGGGGCACGAACCGGAUUAGAUACCCGGGUAGUCCUAGCCGUAAACGAUACUCGCUAGGUGUCAGCCACGGUGCGACCGUGGUUGGUGCCGUAGGGAAGCCGUGAAGCGAGCCACCUGGGAAGUACGGCCGCAAGGCUGAAACUUAAAGGAAUUGGCGGGGGAGCACAAGGGCGAUUCGC
rnacentral:rRNA from 1 species